UAAUUCCUAGAAAGGGAAAAUGUUAGUAAAAACCUGAAAAGAGAAAUUCCUAAAAAGAGAAAUUCUAAAAAAGAGAGAAAAGAAAUAAAAUAUGUUAAUUAAUUCCUAGAAAAGAGAAAUUCCUAAAAAGAGAAAUUCUAAAAAAGAGAGAAAAGAAAUAAAAUAUGUUAAUUAAUUCCUAGAAAGGGAAAAUGUUAGUAAAAACCUGAAAAGAGAAAUUCCUAAAAAGAGAAAUUCUAAAAAAGAGAGAAAAGAAAUAAAAUAUGUUAGUUAAUUCCUAGAAAGGGAAAAAGAGAAAUUCUGUAUGUUGAUUCACCUAAAAAAAGAGAAGAGAAUAUUAGUAUGGUGCAAGUAAUUCUUGUAUUUUCUAAUAAUUUUAUUAAACAUUCAGCUAUGUAUUAAAUGUACAGCUAAGUGUUUGUAAACUACAUGUAUGUGCAAGUCAUGUGUAACAGUCAGAAGGAAAAGACCAAAGAAUUUUGUGAAAGGAAAGAACGAGAACAAGCAGUUUCAACAUCCAAAUUAAACACACCACAACAAAGUUUUUGCUCUGUAUUUAAAUAUUACAUUCAAUUGAAUUAGAUAUUAAUUACAAUUGGUGUUUUUUUAAUUUUUUCUACUUGACUAUCAAUAUUUCCGGAAACUACAAGACUAGUAAGUAACAAUUCGCCAUAUUGAAUUCGCCAUAUUGUAUUCGCCAUAUUGUAGUAUUUUUAAAAUAUUUUUUUUUCUCAUUUGCUCCAAUUGUUUUGCAUUUAUUUUGCACUUGAUCCUGCCCACACACAUUUUCCCCUUAAUAAUUUAACCACAUUCUUAACCUAUAUUGCCUAAUGCUUGGUGGCCAUUUCCAUUAUUAUUAAAUAUGCAACUAGUUACAGCUUCUAUUAGCAAGCUAUUACUAUAAACCUGAAAAAGAAAACCAAUUAUGCCAUAUGUUACAAAUAUGAAAAUGACACCAUCCGGACACAUGUUCCACAAUUGUCCCGUAAGCGUCAUCUUCAUAAAGUAAUAUGGCAUAAUUGGAGGGGGUUCCGGAGGUUAGUAACUCAACCGAGCCAGCAAGCAAUCCUCUCCCUUAUGCGCAUGGUUGGGGAAGGGAAGAGAGACAAUUGCUCUACUCGCUGGGGAAAUCUGUGUCUUAAUUUAUCCUCUUGUGGUACCAUUUGUACCUCCUGCUUAACUAUGCAACCAAGCAAGACUUUGCCAGACCAUGGAUAAUAAAAUAAAG